GGGGGGAGCAAGCGUUGUUCGGAUUUACUGGGCGUAAAGGGCGCGUAGGCGGCGUCCGCAAGUCAGUUGUGAAAUCUCCGAGCUUAACUCGGAAAGGUCAACUGAUACUGCGGGGCUAGAGUGCGGAAGGGGCAACUGGAAUUCUUGGUGUAGCGGUGAAAUGCGUAGAUAUCAAGAGGAACACCUGCGGCGAAGGCGGGUUGCUGGGCCGACACUGACGCUGAGGCGCGAAAGCUAGGGGAGCGAACGGGAUUAGAUACCCCGGUAGUCCUAGCCUUAAACGAUGAAUGCUUGGUGUCUGGGGUUAUAUAGUCCCCGGGUGCCGUCGCUAACGCUUUAAGCAUUCCGCCUGGGGAGUACGGUCGCAAGACUG
rnacentral:rRNA from 1 species